rnacentral:rRNA from 1 species
ACGGAGGGUGCAAGCGUUACUCGGAAUUACUGGGCGUAAAGGGUGCGUAGGCGGGUUGUCAAGUCUUGAGUGAAAUCCAACAGCUUAACUGUUGAACUGCUUAGGAAACUGGCAGCCUAGAGUGAGGGAGAGGUAGAUGGAAUUGGUGGUGUAGGGGUAAAAUCCAUAGAUAUCACCAGGAAUACUCAUUGCGAAGGCGAUCUACUAGAACUUAACUGACGCUGAGGCACGAAAGCGUGGGUAGCAAACAG